GCUCCAGUGGCGCAGAGGUUAGCGCUUCGUGCUUAUAGCCGUAACAAUUGGGACGUCUAUGUCGAUGUCACGGUCGUGUGAGGAACGCGACGGUCGUGGGUUCAAACCCCUCCUGGAGCA
rnacentral:tRNA from 1 species